rnacentral:rRNA from 1 species
CGUAGGGUGCAAGCGUUAAUCGGAAUUACUGGGCGUAAAGCGUGCGCAGGCGGUUUUGUAAGUCAGAUGUGAAAUCCCCGGGCUUAACCCGGGAACUGCGUUUGAAACUACAAGGCUAGAGUGUGGCAGAGGGGGUGGAAUUCCACGUGUAGCAGUGAAAUGCGUAGAGAUGUGGAGGAACACCGAUGGCGAAGGCAGCCCCCUGGGUUAACACUGACGCUCAGGCACGAAAGCGUGGGGAGCAAACAGGAUUAGAUACCCUGGUAGUCCACGCCCUAAACGAUGUCAACUAGUUGUCGGGUCUUAACGGACUUGGUAACGCAGCUAACGCGUGAAGUUGACCGCCUGGGGAGUACGGUCGCAAGAUUA